CAAUAAGCGGAGGAAAAGAAACCAACAGGGAUUGCCCCAGUAACGGCGAGUGAAGCGGCAAAAGCUCAAAUUUGAAAUCUGGCUCCGCUCCGGGGUCCGAGUUGUAAUUUGCAGAGGAUGCUUUGGGUGCACCCGUGGCGUAAGUCCCCUGGAACGGGGCGUCAUAGAGGGUGAGAAUCCCGUCUUGAGUCGCUGGCGUGCGCCCGUGCAAAGCUCCUUCGACGAGUCGAGUUGUUUGGGAAUGCAGCUCUAAUUGGGUGGUAAAUUUCAUCUAAAGCUAAAUACUGGCCGGAGACCGAUAGCGAACAAGUAGAGUGAUCGAAAGGUUAAAAGCACCUUGAAAAGGGAGUUAAAUAGCACGUGAAAUUGUUGAAAGGGAAGCGCUUGCCGCCAGACUCGGGCGCGGAGGCUCAGCGGGCAUGUUUGCCCGUGUACUCCUGCGCGCCCGGGCCAGCAUCAGUUUUGGCGGCCGGUCAAAGGCCUCCGGGAUGUAUCGUCCUCCGGGACGUCUUAUAACCGGGGGUGCAAUGCGGCCAGCCGGGACUGAGGAACGCGCUCCGGCACGGAUGCUGGCGUAAUGGCGGUAAAGCGGCCCGUCUUGAAACAC
rnacentral:rRNA from 2 species